ACUGUUGAUGGACACAGCAAGGUGAGAAUUUUGAGAUUCAAACAGCGGAUAAUACAAGCCAAAGUUUUCUUUCUGUGGAAAAGUUGAUGCGCCUUUUAAGAAGUGAACAACCAAGUUAUUUGCCUGGAAAAGUCUCCUGAAAUACUGAAGUUAUGCUAAAGAAGGAGAAGAGAAAGGAAGCUGCAGUCCCUGUAUAACUCCUAAAUUUUUAAUUUGGAGUUCCUCUUCUUCGGUGCAACAAUCUUUCUGCAUGCACAGAUCCAUGUGGCACUCAUCUCAUCAUUCUGAGGGAAGAAAGAUGCAUAGGGAAUGUUGCAUGUGGUUAUUUCUGCAGAACCCACAGAAAACAAUAAAGCACGAGAGAAAAGAGGAUGGCAGUUUACCCAGGAAACAUAGGUUGUGCAAAGCUUUGCAAUGAUACUCUCAAUUCAGAGCAAUGAAGAACAGAAUGCUGUCUUCCCAUAAUGAUGGCAUUCAAUUAUCACUAGACUUACAAGACUACAGAAAAUUUCUCAAGAACCAGUAAGGAUCAGACAGAGCCAAUGACAAUACUGAAGAAGCUUGCCAGUGGAGAAUGAAAGCUCAGUUACACAAAUUACGUUGUUGAACCAGUGCCAGAAAUAAAAUGUGAUGGACAAACUCAUUAA
rnacentral:lncRNA from 1 species